rnacentral:rRNA from 1 species
GAAUUGCUAGUAAUGGCAGGUCAGCAUACUGCCGUGAAUACGUUCCCGGGGCCUUGUACACACCGCCCGUCACACCAUGAGAGUUGGAAAUACCCGAAGCCUGUGAGCUAACAGUAAUGAGGCAGCAGUCGAAGGUAGAGCCAAUGAUUGGGGUGAAGUCGUAACAAGGUACC